rnacentral:rRNA from 1 species
GAUGAACGCUGGCGGCGUGCCUAAUACAUGCAAGUCGAGCGAACGGACGAGAAGCUUGCUUCUCUGAUGUUAGCGGCGGACGGGUGAGUAACACGUGGAUAACCUACCUAUAAGACUGGGAUAACUUCGGGAAACCGGAGCUAAUACCGGAUAAUAUUUUGAACCGCAUGGUUCAAAAGUGAAAGACGGUCUUGCUGUCACUUAUAGAUGGAUCCGCGCUGCAUUAGCUAGUUGGUAAGGUAACGGCUUACCAAGGCAACGAUGCAUAGCCGACCUGAGAGGGUGAUCCGCCACACUGGAACUGAGACACGGUCCAGACUCCUACGGGAAGCAGCAGGAGGGAAUCUUCCGCAAUGGGCGGAAGCCUGACGGAGCAACGCCGCGUGAGUGAUGAAGGUCUUCGGAUCGUAAAACCCUGCUAUUAGGGAAGAACAUAUGUUUAAGUAACUGUGCACAGCUUGACGGUACCUAAUCAGAAAGCCACGGCUAACUACGUG